rnacentral:tRNA from 6 species
GCCCUGGUGGCGGAAUUGGUAGACGCGCUAGCUUCAGGUGCUAGUUUCUGUAUGGAAGUGGAAGUUCGAGUCUUCUCCAGGGCACCA